CCUCUCCUCUCUCUUGCUCUCAAUUUAUAAUAUAGUGCGACUCUGUUUCACUCAUCAUUCGUUUGGGUUUUUCACUGUCAAUCAUGUUCGAUCACUUUUCAGUUGUUGUUUGUCUUCGUUACUCACUAGGAUUUUAAGCGUUCUGUAGUACCUCUUCCAUGUCCUUCUUUUCUCUUUCUUUACCUUGUGAUUACUUUUCCUUCUUUGAUCUUGCUUUUCUCUUCUUUACCUUGUGAUUGCUUUUCCUUCUUUGAUUUUGAAGUUAACUCGAUUCUUGUUUCUAUGGUUUUUGAUUCUCUCUGUUUUUUUUUUCUUCUGUUUGGAGUGCUAUGAGAGACUGGAUCCUUCGCUGUCCUCAUUGCUGUUUUUGAUUCCUCUUUCUGGGUCUAGGUUCUUUCUUGAACUUGCGUUUUCUUGUUUUUAAAACCGGUGUUUUUCUUUUUUUGGAGUGCUAUGAUGAGACUGGAUCCUUCUCUGUCCUUAUUGCUGUUUUUGAUUCCUCUUUCUGGGUCUAGGUUCUUUCUUGAACUUGCGUUUUCUUGUUUUUAAAACCGGUGUUUUUCUUUUUUUGGAGUGCUAUGAUGAGACUGGAUCCUUCUCUGUCCUUAUUGCUGUUUUUGAUUCCUCUUUCACGUUCUGGGUCUUGGUUCUUUCUUGAACUUGCGUUUUCUUGUUUUCCAAACCGGUGUUUUUUUCAUGUUUUUUUAAAAUUUUUUAUUUAUUUAUUUUGAUUGCAUGCAUGAACAAGAAUGAUGAUAGAGGAUACUAAUCCGCUGUAUGCAAAUUUCAAUGGUCAUGUUUCCGUUGUAUUUCAGGUGUUGGGACUUGGGGCUGCUGGGCUAGGCUGGUGUGUGAUCUUGCAUCUCGACAAGAGGUACAAGAAGUGUGUUGUUUUUUCUUUGGUGAAUUCAAGAAUUGUUUUCUGUCACUUGGUUUAAUUUAAUCUAUACUACUUUUUCUACAAAAUGACCGGAGUGCACAUUUCUGGGGAUGAUUUUAAGAUGCAACAAACCGAAAAUCUUUUUGUCAUGUCGAAGAGAUGCCAGAGGAAGAAGCAGUGGCAUUGCAAGACGCCAUCGGACAAGACUGCCUAAGAUUGAAACUCUUCUUAAAGGUAAAGCUUGCUCUGGAAUAAAAGAAACUGCAACUAGUUUGACAAAACAUCUUGCACAAAGAGCUCAGGAGACCUUUGAAGAAUUUGAAGUGGAAAUCGAGAAAGAUGCUAUAAAGACUGCAGUAACAGAUGGAACUGUCCAUCCUUUGACACGCUCUGUGAUUAACUAUGAUCUUUAUCGUAGAUCUGAUCUUCACAUAUUUGACCUGGUCAAAAUUCUUUAAACUUUGCAGCUAUCAAUCCACUUUGAUGCAGCUUUUUCUGGAAUUUGAGAGUGGUGAUGAUUUUUCACAGCUAGCAUAUGUAACUGUGUGAAUAAUGCAAGCUUUGCAAACCAAUAUUCAUUAUAUUGUAAGAUGGGUUUGGAGGUCUGAGGCCAAGGAUUUGCUGGGGGAUGACUGAAGCCAACGACAUAGGAGGAUUGUUCAACAGCAUGCAAAUCAAUAAAAAAGAAAUGCUUGGGCAAAGGUCUUGUUCUAGUGACCUUGCUGACCAUUACAUGUCUUGCAGCUUUCUUAGAUGUCACUUGGAUAAUGCCUCUUCUGUUCUUGGUCUGAGGCCAAGGAUUUGCUAGGGGAUGACUGAAGCCAAGGCCUGAAGCCAAUGACAUAGGAGGGUUGUUCAGCAGCAUGCAAAUCAAUAAAAAAGAAAUGUUUGGGCAAAGGUCUUCUUCUAGUGACCUUGCUGACCAUUACAUGUCUUGCAGCUUUCUUAGAUGUCACAUGGAUAAUGAUUGAUCAGUGCUUAUCUAUUUAGGGCCUUUGCCCAUCAGGUGGCAGGAGUGAUACUGGUUGCGGCGAUGGUGGAACUUGAAGCAGUAGUGGUGCUUCAUUUAGGACUGGUAGCCUUUCAGAUGCUUCUUUAUGAGUAAUGUCUUUACUUGUUUUGACAUGUCUACAUGUAUUAUGUUAUUAGGUUUAAGAAAUUGAAUGUUAUGUUUGAGGAACUCCAUUAGAGAUAAUCUCAGUGGACAGUUCCUGACAUCGAUCUGCAAGAGUCUCUCAGGCUUGUAGUUGCUGAAGUCUUGUUGGUAGCCUAUAGAUCGUUUGUCAAUCGUUUUGGGUGGGUUCUCAUUUUAAUUUAUGUCAUUCCUAUUUAAUAUGUAGAGGAAUAAUUGUAUCCAUGAAUAUGAAAUGAUGUCUUUUUCCCCAUUGAAACAAAAAUACAUUUACUUAUGUUUGCUUUUGAUGCCUUGUGGUUUUUGUAUGAUUUAUUAGUACCUUGCAAUAAGUGCAUAAUUGGGAA